GACGAACGCUGGCGGCGUGCUUAACACAUGCAAGUCGAACGGAAAGGCCCAGCUUGCUGGGUGCUCGAGUGGCGAACGGGUGAGUAACACGUGGGUGAUCUGCCCCUAACUUCGGGAUAAGCUUGGGAAACUGGGUCUAAUACCGGAUAGGACAAUCGUUUAGUGUCGGUUGUGGAAAGUUUUUUCGGUUAGGGAUGAGCCCGCGGCCUAUCAGCUUGUUGGUGGGGUAAUGGCCUACCAAGGCGUCGACGGGUAGCCGGCCUGAGAGGGUGGACGGCCACAUUGGGACUGAGAUACGGACCAGACUCCUACGGGAGGCAGCAGUGGGGAAUAUUGCACAAUGGGCGCAAGCCUGAUGCAGCGACGCCGCGUGGGGGAUGACGGCCUUCGGGUUGUAAACCUCUUUCGACAGGGACGAAGCUUUGGUGACGGUACCUGUAUAAGAAGCACCGGCUAACUACGUG
rnacentral:rRNA from 1 species